rnacentral:rRNA from 1 species
CCUACGGGAGGCAGCAGUGAGGAAUAUUGGUCAAUGGACGAGAGUCUGAACCAGCAAAGUCGCGUGAAGGAUGACUGCCCUCUGGGUUGUAAACUUCUUUUAUAAAGGAAUAAAACGAGGCACGUGUGCCUUUUUGUAUGUCCUUUAUGAAUAAGGAUCGGCUCACUCCGUGCCAGCAGCCGCGGUAAUACGUAGGGUCCGAGCUUUAUACGGAUUUAUUGGGUUUAACGGGAGCGUAGAUGGGUUGUUAUGUCAGUUGUGAAAGUUUGCGGCUCAACCGUAAAAGUGCAAUUGAUACUGGCAGGCUUGAGUGCAGGUGAGGUAGGCGGAAUUCGUGGUGUAGCGGUGAAAUGCUUAGAUAUCACGAAGAACUCCGAUUGCGAAGGCAGCUUACUAAACUGUCACUGACAUUGAUGCUCGAAAGUGUGGGGAUCAAACAGGAUUAGAUACCCGAGUAGUC